UGACGUCAAGUCCUCAUGGCCCUUAUGGGUAGGGCUUCACACGUCAUACAAUGGUCGGUACAGAGGGUUGCCAAGCCGCGAGGUGGAGCCAAUCCCUUAAAGCCGAUCGUAGUCCGGAUCGUAGUCUGCAACUCGACUACGUGAAGUCGGAAUCGCUAGUAAUCGCAGAUCAGCAUGCUGCGGUGAAUACGUUCCCGGGUCUU
rnacentral:rRNA from 1 species